UAAACAUGGCAACGGGACCGAACUGCGUUUUGGAACAAACUUUUUUCUUCGGUCCUCUUCCGUCCAAAAGGCUGUCUUUCCUACAGGACAAAGACAUUUUAAGGCUGUUGAUGAAAUGGUCCAUGUUGGGGAGGAUUUCAACUCAGUGUUACAGCUUUGACCAGAACUUCUACCCUUACCACGGUAAAACGUUUGCACAGUGUUUUUUCAGUGACCCACAUGUAGCAGCCAGUCUAAUGAAGUUGGAGGCUGGAGCAUGGGUUCCUCUUGACAAACCAGUGGUGUCUGUUACUGUGGAGGUGGUGCCAUGCACUGCGGUCUCCAUGGAGCUGUUUGAUCCAAUCUACUCCUGUGGGGUUGUGAGACCAUCUGGACAUAUAGUGAAAUGCUACCACGAUAUGUACCCAGAUUACGAUGAACUGAGACAGAUGCUGCAGGAUGAGGAGUCUGAGCACUACUGUGAGCUUGGAAAAGAGGACCGAAGGGAGUUCCUGUUUUGCCUUUUCAAGCACCUGUGCCUUGGAGGGGAGCUCUGUCAGUAUGAAGACACUAUUGAUCCUUACAUCAGUGCCACAAGGAAAAUCUACAAAGACCUGAUCAGUGUGCAGAAAGACACUGAGACGAAGAAGAUCAGCAUCGUCUCUACAGUGCUCAAAGUCUGUGCUUAUGAUGAGAGUGGGCAAUGUUAUCCACAGAGAGAAGAGGAGGAACAGACAUUCGCCUAUUUGAUUGUUGAUCCUUUCAGACGACAUGUGACAUUGUUUUGCCAUUGAGCGAAGCCUGACCCCAGAAUUCCCUGAGAUCACACCAAAGUCAGUGGUGCUGCCUGAGAUGGUGAGGGGUGCGAGCAAGUGUGAAAAGACUUACAGCAGGCAACGCGAAGAAGGAAACUCCCAGAAGAGCGAAGACAGCAGCGAGGAGACGUCCUUGCCAGGUACACAAGGAAGGAGGCAAAGAUCAGGACCAGGAACCCGAUAUACCAGGCCGUAAUCAGCUCCUGGAUUAACAGAGAGAGAGAGAGGAAUCAAUCAUUACUGCCAGCAGC